GGAGAGGUGCCCGAGCGGACGAAGGGGCACGCCUGGAGAGCGUGUGUACCGCAAACCGGUACCGUGGGUUCGAAUCCCACCCUCUCCGC
rnacentral:tRNA from 1 species